rnacentral:rRNA from 1 species
UGAGGAACAUGACCUUCGGCGGGGGAUAGCCGGCCCAACGGCCGGGUAAUACCGCGUACGACCACAUGGGGACAUCCCUGAGUGGUGAAAGCAGCAAUGCGCCGAUGGAGUGCCUCGCGGCCUAUCAGCUAGUUGGUGAGGUAACGGCUCACCAAGGCAACGAUGCGUAGCCGACCUGAGAGGGUGAUCGGCCACAUUGGAACUGAGACACGGUCCAGACCUCUACGGGAGG